rnacentral:rRNA from 1 species
UACGUAGGCAGCAAGCGUUGUUCGGAGUUACUGGGCGUAAAGGGUGCGUAGGCGGUCCUAUAAGUAUGGUGUGAAAUCUCCCGGCUUAACUGGGAGGGUGCGCUAUAGACUGUGGGACUAGAGUGUGGGAGAGGAAAGUGGAAUUCCUGGUGUAGCGGUGAAAUGCGCAGAUAUCAGGAAGAACACCCGUGGCGAAAGCGGCUCUCUGGGACGGUACUGACGCUGAGACGCGAAAGCGUGGGGAGCGAACAGG